CUUGCCUGCACUCCCUCCUAACCACACAAACCACAACCUGACUCUCCCUAUAAGCUCAUCGCUUUCCCAUCAUGGAAAGGGGGUUCUCGUUGAGGGUUUAUUUUCCAUGCUGAAGAAGAGACGAGGCCUAGUGCUUAGUCAGGAGUUACAAAAUAAAAAAGAAAGUGAUGGAGUAUGUGGGGUUGUGUGCGGAACGUCCGAUAGAGUUAACUGCCACUGUGUGUGGCACCGGCUCGGCCGUGGACCCAUAAAUAGCAUCACGUGUGUCCCAUUUACCCCUCCCACAGCCCUAAUACAUGAGGGCUACAGUUCAUUCCAACAUCAUUAGGAGCAAGGCAGCUCUGCAACAACAACAUUGUUAAUGGCAAACUACUUGCACAACAGAGUUGCCUUGUCUUUUCAGAGCCUCAGCCUACUGUAAAUGGAAGGAGCUACGAGAAACAGAGCAGCCUGCCCUCCAUCCGUCACAUAUUCCAAGGCAGAGAAGCAUGGCAGGGCCAGCUAAAAGUUUCUUGCCCCAAUCCUGCACAUUAUCAAUGGAAUAUAUAGAGUUUGGAGAUUACAUCUCUAGGAAAUUUGGCCGAGAAGCAAUGGAAUUUAGCAUGGAAUCUGGAUUUUGCUUUAUGGGGAUCCUGCUUGGGUCAAUGUGCCAAACUGGAUUACAAACCCUUCCCUUGGAGUAUGGAAUAUGGAUAACAAUGGAGGAAACGGGAAUGGAAUUGGAUUACAGAGCAAAUUGGAAUUAAUUGUUUCUGAUGGAUCUUUGUUUUCGGAGAAGAAAAUGAAAACCAAAGGUCUUCUGGGGAUGUGGCAGUAGAUCCGGGCAGAAGGAAAACCUAAGGAACCCUAUCCCAGAUGUUCCUAUAGUGCAGCACAUCCCGUGGCAGAACUGUCAUGCUGGAUCGGAUCAUGAAUGGGGAAUGUAUAGGAUACAUUGAUGACUUCCCAACCUGUUGUGAAAUGAUCACUCUUUUGAUUGGCUGAUUCUUGGAGAGAACUCGCCGUCUACAAGGGUGGAGCCUGGUUAAAUGACAAGAAUUUGGAUGGGAGCAGAAAGUUGGGGGCAACUGUUUGAUAAUGGUGGACUCACUCUUGCAGUAUUCAUUCACUGGGUGAAAAUGUUAAUUCUUUAACUUUUAAUGUAAUAAAAAAAUCCUGUACUCGGUUUCUUUUAU